AGUGAACGCUGGCGGUAGGCCUAACACAUGCAAGUCGAACGGCAGCACUGGAGAGCUUGCUCUCUGGGUGGCGAGUGGCGGACGGGUGAGGAAUACAUCGGAAUCUACUUUUUCGUGGGGGAUAACGUAGGGAAACUUACGCUAAUACCGCAUACGACCUACGGGUGAAAGCAGGGGAUCUUCGGACCUUGCGCGAUUGAAUGAGCCGAUGUGGGAUUAGCUAGUUGGCGGGGUAAAGGCCCACCAAGGCGACGAUCCGUAGCUGGUCUGAGAGGAUGAUCAGCCACACUGGAACUGAGACACGGUCCAGACUCCUACGGGAGGCAGCAGUGGGGAAUAUUGGACAAUGGGCGCAAGCCUGAUCCAGCCAUACCGCGUGGGUGAAGAAGGCCUUCGGGUUGUAAAGCCCUUUUGUUGGGAAAGAAAUCCAGCUGGUUAAUACCCGGUUGGGAUGACGGUACCCAAAGAAUAAGCACCGGCUAACUUCGUGCCAGCCGCCGCAGUAA
rnacentral:rRNA from 1 species